rnacentral:tRNA from 1 species
AAGUCCUUCAGAUAGGAUCUCUGAAGGCAGCGUCUGGUCAGAUGUCUGCAUGAGCAAUCAUGCGAAAGCGCCGUCAACAUAUCCCUUUCUACGACAGAUUAUACAGGUUCGGGCUAGUAGCUCAGUUGGUUAGAGCACACGCUUGAUAAGCGUGGGGUCGGAGGUUCAAGUCCUCCCUGGCCCACCACUUAAUCAGCUGUAUAUGAUAAUAUGCAGUUGUCUGGUUAUGGGGGCGUAGCUCAGCUGGGAGAGCACCUGCUUUGCAAGCAGGGGGUCGUCGGUUCGAACCCGUCCGUCUCCACCAUCUUUACUAAGUGGUUGUCGAGAAGUCUGUCGUAAGGGAGUGUUAGAGAUUGGACAUUUCCGUAUAUGGAGCCGCGUUGCGGCGCAUAUGUGGUGUGUGUCUGAUGAGAGAUCUUUGUCAGUGUGAAUCGGUUGGUGCGUAUCUGGGCGUGCCUUUUAGUUGCGGGUUGGUCUGACCCACAGCGUUCUGUUUUUGCGGAAUGAUGUGUUAAGCAACGAAGGCAUGAAUCGUUCAGAUGCGUUUUAAAGAUAUAAGUGACGUACUUGCAUGAUGCAUGCGGGAACAGUCUUAUAUGACUUAGGUUGUAUAGAUGGUUUCUGUGCAUGGUGAGAGUGAGUGCGAUAAGGGCAUUCGG